rnacentral:tRNA from 1 species
GCGGAUAUAGUUUAGUGGUAAAACGCCUCGUUGCCAACGAGAAAAUAGGAGUUCGAUUCUCCUUAUCCGCA